CCGUUGACAAAGUGCCCGCUACGGAGCGAACAGGCUGAUCGUAAAGACGCCGUCAAUCCGUCCCUGGAGGCUCGUGCCGCGCCAUAUAUGG
rnacentral:ncRNA from 1 species